UGGGGAAUUUUGGACAAUGGGCGAAAGCCUGAUCCAGCAAUGCCGCGUGUGUGAAGAAGGCCUUCGGGUUGUAAAGCACUUUUGUCCGGAAAGAAAUCCUUGGCUCUAAUACAGUCGGGGGAUGACGGUACCGGAAGAAUAAGCACCGGCUAACUACGUGCCAGCAGCCGCGGUAAUACGUGGGGUGCAAGCGUUAAUCGGAAUUACUGGGCGUAAAGCGAGUGUAGGCGGUUGCCGUAGUCAGGUGUGAAAGCCUUGAGCUCAACUCAAGAAAUGCACUUGAUACUGGGUGACUAGAGGACCGGAGAGGAUAGUGGAAUUCCCAGUGUAGUGGUGAAAUACGUAGAGAUUGGGAAGAACACCAGUGGCGAAGGCGGCUAUCUGGACGGUUACUGACGCUAAGACUCGAAAGCGUGGGGAGCAAAACAGGAUUAGAUACCCUGGUAGUCCACGCCGUAAAACGAUGGGUGCUAGACGUUGGCGAGCUUGCUCGUCAGUGUCGCAGCUAACGCGUUAAGCACCCCGCCUGGGGAGUACGGCCGCAAAGGGUUGAAAACUCAAAAGGAAUUGACGGGGGUCAUAGCUGUUUCCU
rnacentral:rRNA from 1 species